GGCGCAUUAACAUAUUGGUAGAUGUAAGCGGCUCAUAACCGUUUAAACAGAGUUCGAUUCUCUGAUGUGCCACCA
rnacentral:tRNA from 1 species